AUUUUUAGUAUAAUAAGUACAAAUGAUUUCCAAUUAUUAAGUUCAUAAAUGAAAAAGAAUA
rnacentral:tRNA from 1 species